rnacentral:misc_RNA from 1 species
UAUGACUGCGGAGACAUUACUGUGGGCUGUUCUUCGGAAGCCCGCGAGAUAGCACCCUCUGCUUUUUUGAGUACCUCUUGUUUCCUCGGCGGGCUUGCCCGCCAACGGGGACCUCAAUUCAACCUUUUGCAGUAGUAUGAAAACGUCUGAUAACAAUCUAAAUCGUUACAACUUUCAACAAUGGAUCUCUUGGUUCUGGCAUCGAUGAAGAACGCAGCA